rnacentral:rRNA from 1 species
AACGAACGCUAGCGGCAGGCCUAACACAUGCAAGUCGAACGCACCGCAAGGUGAGUGGCAGACGGGUGAGUAACGCGUGGGAACGUGCCCUUCGGUUCGGAAUAACCCGGGGAAACUCGGGCUAAUACCGGAUACGUCCGUAAGGAGAAAGAUUUAUCGCCGAAGGAUCGGCCCGCGUCGGAUUAGCUAGUUGGUGAGGUAACGGCUCACCAAGGCGAUGAUCCGUAGCUGGUCUGAGAGGACGAUCAGCCACACUGGGACUGAGACACGGCCCAGACUCCUACGGGAGACAGCAGUGGGGAAUAUUGGACAAUGGGCGCAAGCCUGAUCCAGCCAUGCCGCGUGAGUGAUGAAGGCCUUAGGGUUGUAAAGCUCUUUUAGCGGGGACGAUAAUGACGGUACCCGCAGAAAAAGCCCCGGCUAACUUCGUGCCAGCCGCCGCGGUAA